GCCUCCCUCCCGCCGCCCACUCAGACUCCUACGGAGGGCAGCAGUGGGGAAUAUUGGACAAUGGGCGCAAGCCUGAUCCAGCAAUGCCGCGUGUGUGAAGAAGGCCUUCGGGUUGUAAGGGCACUUUUGUCCGGUAAAGAAAACUUCUGCCCUAAUACGGCGGGAGGAUGACGGUACCGGAAGAAUAAGCACCGGCUAACUACGUGCCAGCAGCCGCGGUAAUAC
rnacentral:rRNA from 1 species